rnacentral:rRNA from 1 species
UUCUUCAGUUGAGGGGCAUCUUGCGCUGCCGAUCUUGUCUGAUCUCGGAAGCUAAGCAGGGUCAGGCCUGGUUAGUACUUGGAUAGGAGAAUAUAAUAUUUAAGAAA